rnacentral:rRNA from 1 species
UACGGAGGGUGCAAGCGUUAAUCGGAAUUACUGGGCGUAAAGCGCGCGUAGGCGGUUAAGUCAGUCAGAUGUGAAAGCCCCGGGCUCAACCUGGGAACUGCAUUUGAUACUGCUUAGCUAGAGUAUGGUAGAGGAGAGUGGAAUUUCAGGUGUAGCGGUGAAAUGCGUAGAUAUCUGAAGGAACACCAGUGGCGAAGGCGGCUCUCUGGACCAAUACUGACGCUGAGGUGCGAAAGCGUGGGUAGCAAACGGG